rnacentral:rRNA from 1 species
UACGUAGGGUGCGAGCGUUGUCCGGAAUUAUUGGGCGUAAAGGGCUCGUAGGCGGUUUGUCGCGUCGGGGAGUGAAAACACCGGGCUUAACUCGGUGCUUGCUUCCGAUACGGGGCAGACUAGAGGCAUGCAGGGGGAGAACGGAAUUCCUGGUGUAGCGGUGAAAUGCGCAGAUAUCAGGAGGAACACCGGUGGCGAAGGCGGGUCUCUGGGCCGAUACUGACGCUGAGGAGCGAAAGCGUGGGGGAGCGAACAGG